GUGGGUAUAGCUUAGUGGUAAAGCGCCGCUCUGUGGCAGCGGUGAGGGGGGCUCGAUUCCCCUUACCCACC
rnacentral:tRNA from 1 species